GAUGAACGCUGGCGGCGUGCCUAACACAUGCAAGUCGAACGAAGCUUGACGGAUGAUUUCUUCGGAAUGAAACCUGAUAUGACUUAGUGGCGGACGGGUGAGUAACACGUGAGCAACCUGCCUUUCAGAGGGGGGAUAACGGCUGGAAACGGUCGCUAAUACCGCAUGAUGUGUUCGGAUGGCAUCAUCUGAACAUCAAAGAUUUAUCGCUGAAAGAUGGGCUCGCGUCUGAUUAGAUAGUUGGUGGGGUAACGGCCUACCAAGUCGACGAUCAGUAGCCGGACUGAGAGGUUGAACGGCCACAUUGGGACUGAGAUACGGCCCAGACUCCUACGGGAGGCAGCAGUGGGGAAUAUUGGGCAAUGGGCGCAAGCCUGACCCAGCAACGCCGCGUGAAGGAAGAAGGCUUUCGGGUGUAAACUUCUUUUGUCAGGGACGAGUAGAAGACGGUACCUGACGAAUAAGCCACGGCUAACUACGUGCCAGCAGCC
rnacentral:rRNA from 1 species